rnacentral:rRNA from 1 species
GGUGCUGCAUGGCUGUCGUCAGCUCGUGUUGUGAAAUGUUGGGUUAAGUCCCGCAACGAGCGCAACCCUUAUCCUUUGUUGCCAGCGAUUCGGUCGGGAACUCAAAGGAGACUGCCGGUGAUAAACCGGAGGAAGGUGGGGAUGACGUCAAGUCAUCAUGGCCCUUACGAGUAGGGCUACACACGUGCUACAAUGGCGCAUACAAAGAGAAGCGACCUCGCGAGAGCAAGCGGACCUCACAAAGUGCGUCGUAGUCCGGAUCGGAGUCUGCAACUCGACUCCGUGAAGUCGGAAUCGCUAGU